rnacentral:tRNA from 1 species
GGGGCUGUAGCUCAGUGGUAAAGCACUUGCCUGGUAAGUGUGAGGCACUGAGUUCAAUCCUCAGCAUCACAU